GAUUCAAUGUUGAUGCUGAGUGGGUCUCAGCAGCCUCCCAGCCCCCAGUUUCCUCACUGUCCUGAGGUCCAGAGCACUUGGGAGACCUCCAGGAGGCUAUGAUCUGGACUAUGUUGGAAACUGGUGAAUUGUCCUUUGUGAAGGAGAAAACUAGCACCGAGAUUUGUUUGUAUGUAGAAUUUUGAAGACUAUCUUCCCAUCGAAAGAGAACUCAGCACCCUAUAAAGUCAUGUGGCAGGAACAAGGGCAUUUCUCAACUGACCACAUUAGCAUCGCAAUCAGCUGACUCCUCUGCAAACAUCAGCCCAGAAGGGCUACCUGCAGGGAAGGCUGUGAAGUCUUCUCAAGACGUUUCCAUUUCCCUCAUCCCUCUUCUGCUCUUUGGCUCUCCUCCUCCUCCCCCUCCUCCUCUUUCUCCUUCAACUAUCUCCAGUCUGUGGAUUUAAUAAAGCCUUACAAGCCUUA